rnacentral:rRNA from 1 species
AUUGAACGCUGGCGGCAGGCCUAACACAUGCAAGUCGAGCGGGGUUUUCGGACCUAGCGGCGGACGGGUGAGUAAUGCGUAGGAAGCUGCCCGAUAGAGGGGGAUACCAGUUGGAAACGACUGUUAAUACCGCAUAAUGUCUACGGACCAAAGUGUGGGACCUUCGGGCCACAUGCUAUCGGAUGCGCCUACGUGGGAUUAGCUAGUUGGUGAGGUAAUGGCUCACCAAGGCGACGAUCGCUAGCUGGUUUAAGAGGAUGAUCAGCCACACUGGAACGGAGACACGGUCCAGACUCCUACGGGAGGCAGCAGUGGGGAAGAUUGGACAAUGGGCGCAAGCCUGAUCCAGCCAUGCCGCGUGUGUGAAGAAGGCCUUCGGGUUGUAAAGCACUUUCAGCGAGGAGGAAGGGUGGUGUGUUAAUAGCACAUCAUUUUGACGUUACUCGCAGAAGAAGCACCGGCUAACUCUGUGCCAGCCGCCGCCGUAA